rnacentral:misc_RNA from 1 species
GAUGAAGAACGUAGCGAAAUGCGAUAAGUAAUGUGAAUUGCAGAACUCAGUGAAUCAUCGAAUCUUUGAACGCACAUUGCGCCCGUCAGUAUUCUGGCGGGCAUGCCUGUUCGAGCGUCAUUACGCCCCUCAAGUCCCCUGUGGACUUGGUGUUGGGGAUCGGCGAGGCUGGUUUUCCAGCACAGCCGUCCCUUAAAUUAAUUGGCGGUCUCGCCGUGGCCCUCCUCUGCGCAGUAGUAAAACACUCGCAACAGGAGCCCGGCGCGGUCCACUGCCGUAAAACCCCCCAACUUUUUAUAGUUGACCUCGAAUCAGGUAGGACUACCCGCUGAACUUAAGCAUAUCAAUAAGCGGAGGA